UGGGGAAUUUUGGACAAUGGGGGAAACCCUGAUCCAGCCAUCCCGCGUGUGCGAUGAAGGCCUUCGGGUUGUAAAGCACUUUUGGCAGGAAAGAAACGUCGUGGGUUAAUACCCCGCGAAACUGACGGUACCUGCAGAAUAAGCACCGGCUAACUACGUGCCAGCAGCCGCGGUAAUACGUAGGGUGCAAGCGUUAAUCGGAAUUACUGGGCGUAAAGCGUGCGCAGGCGGUUCGGAAAGAAAGAUGUGAAAUCCCAGAGCUUAACUUUGGAACUGCAUUUUUAACUACCGGGCUAGAGUGUGUCAGAGGGAGGUGGAAUUCCGCGUGUAGCAGUGAAAUGCGUAGAUAUGCGGAGGAACACCGAUGGCGAAGGCAGCCUCCUGGGAUAACACUGACGCUCAUGCACGAAAGCGCGGGGAGCAAACAGGAUUAGAUACCCUGGUAGUCCACGCCCUAAACGAUGUCAACUAGCUGUUGGGGUCUUCGGACCUUGGUAGCGCAGCUAACGCGUGAAGUUGACCGCCUGGGGAGUACGGUC
rnacentral:rRNA from 1 species